GAACUAAAAGUGGUGCCCUCUUUCUUUGCUUGAACGAUGGACCCCUCCCCUCACCCCCACUUCUUCCAUCGUCGUUUACUCUUCCGUUUUUGCCGUUCUCAGAGCUGGAGUCGAAGCGUCCUCCAAACGGAAUUAGGCACGAUGGAUCCCUCCCCUCACCCCGACUUCUUCCAUCGUCGUUUCGUCUUUCUUCGCCGUUUUCGAAUUUGGAUUAAUCCACCAUGGCGAAGCGUUUCGAGCUGCCGAUUCCUAUACCCCCACGACUAUCCAUUCGGUUAUAUAAUGACAGCUCUAACAGUCAUUUUACCUGCAUCUGAUAACCUUUUUUUUUUUGCCCGAAAGGGACGGUGAUUUCGAACAGGUGUUCUACGUCGCUUUUGCGUUGCUUCUGUGUUACUUUAUCAGUCAAAGACAGAGGAAGUUUUGAAGCAAUCACGAGGGAAGAAAAAAGUGCGCAGUUUAAUCGACUCUUCUGAAUCUGAUGAAGAAGAGGAGUGAAGUACUCUCACGAAAGCUAUCAAAAGACCUAAUUUUUGUAAUAUUUAAAGGAUAUGCGUAAUAGAUAUCCUAUUACAAUUAACAUGUUAUGAUGAUAUUACUAUAUAUUGAUUUUAGUAUCAGCCUUAUUUUAUUGUUGUAUUAAAUGAUUAACGCCAUUUCUUUUC